AUUGAACGCUGGCGGCAGGCCUAACACAUGCAAGUCGAGCGAGCGGCGGACGGGUGAGUAAUGUCUGGGAAACUGCCUGCUGGAGGGGGGUAACUACUGGAAACGGUUGCUAAUACCGCAUACUAUCGGAUGUGCCCCUAUGGGAUUAGCUAGUGGGUGGGGUAACGGCUCACCUAGGCGACGAGCCCUAGCUGGUCUGAGAGGAUGACCAGCCACACGGGAACUGAGACACGGUCCAGACUCCUACGGGAGGCAGCAGUGGGGAAUAUUGCACAAUGGGCGCAAGCCUGAUGCAGCCAUGCCGCGUGUGUGAAGAAGGCCUUCGGGUUGUAAAGCACUUUCAGCGGGGAGGCGUUACCCGCAGAAGAAGCACCGGCUAACUCCGUGCCAGCAGCCGCGGUAAUUC
rnacentral:rRNA from 1 species